rnacentral:rRNA from 1 species
AAGGUAGUGCGCUAACCGCAAGGAGGCAGCUAACCACGGUAGGGUCAGCGACUGGGGUGAAGUCGUAACAAGGUAGCCGUAGGGGAACCUGCGGCUGGAUCACCUCCUUUCUAAGGAAGC